AAUUGAGAUGGUUUGUCUGACUCACAGGAAUAAACGAUUACAUUUGAGUUGGAUUGUAUUAAAACACCAUGACCCCCCUCCAAAUCUUUGCCCAUUCCUUCUAUGACUCAUAAAAGAAAGAGAACACCACCCUCCUGCAGUAAUGGCAGAUGACUGAGAGCUUUGCAGAAGGUUUAGCAGUGAGGAAUGGCAAAGAUAAAAACGCCCAUUUGAUGCUAGUAAAGAUGCCAACAAGAAUUGUGUGAAAAGG
rnacentral:lncRNA from 1 species